UUUUUGUUUUUUUUUUUUUUUUUUUUUUUUAGUAUUGAGCUGAAGGAGGUGUUAUAAAUUUUGGAGAUUAAUCACUUGUCAGUCCAUUUAUUUGCAAAGAUUUUCUCCCAUUCUGUGGGUUGUGUGUUUUGUAUAGGGUUUCCUUUGCUGUGCAGAAACUUUUAAGUUUAAUUAAGUCCCAAUUGUUUAUUUUCUUUUUAUUCUCAUUACCCUAAGAGGUGGAUCCAAGAAGAUGUUGCUGUCAUUUACAUCAGAGAAUAUUUGGUCUACGUUUUCCACUAAGAGUUUUAUAGUAUCUGGUCUUAUAUCUAGGUCUUUAAUCCAUUUUGAGUUUAUUUUUGUGUAUGGUGUUAGGGAGUGUUCUAAUUUCAUUCUUUUCCAUGUGACCAUACAGUUUUCCCAGCACCACUUAUUAAACAGGGUGACUUUACUCCAUUGUAUAUUCUUGCCCACUUUGUCAUAGAUUAGUUGGCUGUAGGUGCUUGGGUUUAAUUCUGGGCUUUCUAUCCUCUUCCACUGAUCUAUAUUUCUGUCUUUGUGCCAGUACCAUAUGGUUUUGAUGAUUGUUGCUUUGUAGUAUAGUCUGAAGUCAGGGAACCUGAUUCCUCCAGCUCCAUUUUUUUUUUUUUUUUUCUUCAGGGGAUGGCUUUGGCUAUUCUGGGUCUUUUGUGCUUCCAAACAAACUUUACAAUAUUUUGUUCGAGUUCUGUGAAAAAUGUCCUUGGUAAUUUGAUAGGGAUUGCAUUGAACCUGUACAUUGCCUUGGGUAAUAUAGUCAUUUUGAUAAUAUUGACUCUUCCAAUCCAAGAGCAUGGUAUGUCUUUCCUUCUAUUUGUGUCAUCUUUGAUGUCUUUCAUCAGUGUCUUACAGUUUUCAGAGUAUAGGUGUUUUGUCUCUUUAGGUAGGUUUACGCCUAGGUAUUUUAUUCUUUUGGAUGUGAUGGUAAAUGAGAUUGUGUCCCUAUUUUCUCUUUCUGAUCUUUCAUUGUUGGUGUAUAGAAAUGCAGUUGAUUUCUGUGUAUUAAUUUUGUAUCCUGAAAAUUUGCCAAAUUCAUUGAUGAGCUCUAGCAGUCUUCUAGUAAGAGUCUUUAGGAUUCUCUAGGUAUAGUAUCAUGUCAUCUGCAAAUAGGGAUAGUUUUACUUCUUCCUUUCCAAUUUGGAUUCCUUUUAUUUCUUUUACUUCUCUUAUUUCCAUGGCUAGGACUUCCAAAAUUAUGUUGAAUAGUGGUGAGAGCAGACAUCCUUGUCUUGUUCCUGACCUCAGCAGGAAUUCUUUCAGCUUUUCACCAUUAGGAAUGAUGUUAGCUGUAGGUUUGUCAUAUGUGGACUUUAUUAUGUUGAGGUAGUUUCCCGCUUUGACCACUUUCUGAAGAGUUUUUAUCAGAAAUGGGUGUUGGAUUUUGUCAAAGGCUUUUUCCAUAUCUAUUGAGAGGAUCAUAUGGUUUUUAUUCUUCAGUUUGUGAAUGUGGUGUAUCACACUGACUGAUUUUCAGAUAUUGAAGAGUCCUUGCAUCGCUAGGAUAAAUGACAUUUGAUCAUGAUGUACAAUGCUUUUUAAUGUAUUGUUGGAUGUGGUUUGCUAGUAUUUUGUUGAGGAUUUUUGCAUCUCUGUUCACCAUGAAAUUGGCCUGUAAUUUUCCUUUUUUUGUGGUAUCUUUGUCUGGUUUUGGUAUCAGGGUGAUGGUGGCCUCAUAGAAUGAGUUUGGGAGUAUCCCUUCCUCUGUGAUUUUUUGGAAUAUUUUCAGAAGGAUAGGUGUUAGCUCUUCUCUAAAUGUUUGAUAGAAUCCACCUGUGAAGCCAUCUGGUCCAGGACUUUGUUUGUUGGAAGAUUUUAAUCACAGUUUCAAUUUCAGUACUUGUGAUUGGACCAUUCAUCUUUUCUCUUUCAUCUUGGUUUAGUCUUGGAAGAUUGCACUUUUCUAAGAAUUUGUCCACAUCUUCUAGGUUUUUGGUUUUAUUGGCACAUAGUCACAUAUAGUAGUCUCUUAUGAUCCUUUGUAUUUCUGUGAUGUCCAUUGUGACUUUUCCUUUUUCAUUUCUAAUUUUAUUGAUUUGAGUCUUCUCAGUUUUUUUCUUGAUAAGUCUGGCUAAGGGUUUAUCAAUUUUGUUGAUCUUUUCACAGCACCAGCUUUUCGUUUCAGUGAUCUUUUCUAUGGCUUUUUUUGUUUGUUUGUUUCUGUUUUCUUGAUUUCUGCUCUUUUCUUUGUGAUUUAUUUCCUUCUACUAACUUUAGGUAUUGUCAGUUAUUCUCUCUCGAGCUACUUUAGAUGUAAACUUAGCUUGUUUAUUUGAGCUUUUUGUUGUUUCAUGAGGUAGGCUUGUAUUUCUAUAAACUUCCCUCUUAGAACUGCUUUUGCUGCAUCCCAUAGGUUUUGGAGUGUUGUAUCUUUGUUGUCAUUUGCUUCUAGGUAUUUUUUAAUUUCCUUCUCUGAUUUCUUCAGCAAUCCAUUGGUUGUGUAGUAGCAUGUUGUUUAGUCUCCAUGUGUUUGUGUUUUUUGCAGGUUUUUUCAUGUUACCGAUUUCCAGUCAUAUAGCAUUGUGGUCAGAAAUGAUGCUUCAUAUGAUUUCAAUUUUCUGUAAGUUACUGAGAUUGGAUUUGUAGCCCAGGAUGUGAUCAAUCUUAGAGAAUGUUCCAUGUGCACUUGAGAAGAAUGUGUAUUCUGUUGCUUUUGGUUGGAAUGUCCUAUAAAUAUCUAUGAAGUCCACCUGGUCUAAUGCUUCAUUCAAGGCCUGUGUUUCCUUAUUGAUUUUCUGUCUGGAUGAUCUGUCCAUUGCUGUAAGUGGGAUGUCAACAUCCCCCCACUAAUUAUUGUGUUAUUGUCAUCCUUUUAUGUUGUUGGCAGUUGCCUUGUAUGUUGUGAUGAACCUAUGUUGGGUGUGUAGUUGUUUAAAAUUUUUAUAUCUUCUUCUUGGAUUUUAUCUUGGAUUUUAGCUUUUUGGAUUUUACCUUGGAUUUUAUCUUUGAUCAUUAUGGAGUUACCUUAUUUGUCCCUUAAAAUAUUCUUCAUUUUAAAGUCUAUUUUGUCUGAUAUGAGUAUUGCUACUCUGGGUUUCUUUUGAUUUCCGUUUGUAUGGAAUAUUUUCUUCCAUCCUC
rnacentral:lncRNA from 1 species